GGUCAUGAGUGCCAGCGACAAGCCCCGGCUCGCUGGCCGGCAACCCUCCUACCGCGGUGGGGUGCCCCGGGUGAGGACCUGGCGGCACGUCGACCGGCGGCCGCAAGCACGGCAC
rnacentral:ncRNA from 2 species